AUGUUUAAUUUCUUGUUGUCACCAUUUCCACGGACUGAUUAUUUUUAGAUUGGCUAGUUUCACUUUUUUUCGUCCAAUAAGAUUGGAGUAUUGGUUGUUUUGUGGUCACAUGAUCUUGGUUUGCGGUAGAGACCGCCAUGUUUAAUUUCUUGUUAGCAAGGCAAAGUGGUUUAUCAAGUGUUUUACUUUUUUAUAAGUUUGUAUGGUGUAUUUGGAUAUCGGAAUUGGCACAGUUACAGCUCUUGGAGGUGUUGGUACACAAGCACAGGUUUGAGGAGACUGGAGAGUGUUGUUACAUGCAAUGUGGGGUUUAUUCUACAAAUAAGACCCGGACAUGUUACACGUCUUGAGUGGUUUGAUGAUAAACAGUUAUUUAUGUGCUCAGAGACAUGUACCAUUGUUUACAUGAUGACAGAUUGAUAUAUAUAGAAGAAGAUUAUAUAGAUAAUUAAAAGUAGUAGAAACCCCGAAUUGUGUAGUUUCAUCUCUACUAGAAAUACAUUUAACAUGUUUAAGGCAAAAACAAAACUAAAUGGCAGAGAUAGUAUAAUACUACGUUCUCUACAGGAACAUAUGGGUUCAUGAUCUUUUUGAUAACAUUGAAUAAACCAGAGCUAUAUGGAUGAAGCAAUUUUCAAUGUAAAAAGAACCUCUAUAUCAUGUUAAAGAUUAGAAAAUAUUUCAACCAUUCAAGUAACAUAUUCUGCAAAACAGGUAGAAAGCAAGGUUCCCAAUGUGCGUGGAUGUUUUCACUGGCAAGUUGGUUGAAAAAAUCGUGGGACACCUUCUGUCUCUUUUAUUUAUUAUAAUUGACAAAUUUGUAAUAUUCUAGAGAAUAUGAAUAAACUAAAUGUGUGUCCAUAGCACAUGGAUAUCCUCCACUUCUGUCACUAAAUGUACAUGAUUUAAUGACUCUAGGUGAAAUAUUUCUUUAAGAUAUAUGCAGAACAAACUUUUGAAAUAUUAAAUACAACUAGAAGAUGCUUUUGUAGAAAAGUGCAUGUCUCUCCCAAUGCAUAGUAGUAAUAGGCAAGAAGUCAACAGGGGGCAGGAGAGAAAGUCAAAGAGACACUGAUGGUUGGCUGCAAUAGGGAUCAUCUACUUGGCAUGUCCAAUCAUCCCACAAAGUUUCAACAUUCUGGGCCUAGUGGUUCUCAAGUUAUGGACUGGAAACAGUUUUCCAUGUUCAGCCAACUGUGACCUUGACCUUUGAUCUAG